rnacentral:rRNA from 1 species
AUUGAACGCUGGCGGCAGGCCUAACACAUGCAAGUCGAGCGGAGCGGCGGACGGGUGAGUAAUGCCUAGGAAUCUGCCUGGUAGUGGGGGAUAACGUCCGGAAACGGGCGCUAAUACCGCAUACUAUCAGAUGAGCCUAGGUCGGAUUAGCUAGUUGGUGGGGUAAAGGCCGACCAAGGCGACGAUCCGUAACUGGUCUGAGAGGAUGAUCAGUCACACUGUAACGGAGACACGGUACAGACUACUCCGGGAGGCAGCAGUGGGGAAUAUUGGUCAAUGGGCGAAAGCCUGAUCCAGCAAUGCCGCGUGUGUGAAGAAGGUCUUCGGAUUGUAAAGCACUUUAAGUUGGGAGGCGUGACCUACAGAAUAAGCACCGGCUAACUUCGGGCCAGCAGCCGCGGUAAUUC